rnacentral:piRNA from 1 species
UAAAUUCCUUCUUGUGCCGGCUGCGAUCG